GAGAUAGAGGUUGCGUGAUUUAUGAGUAACCAGUCGGAUGCGGCAGGCGCAGAAGAAGGUUGGUGAAAGGAAAGAACGCCGAAAGGAUAUGUCACCUGAAAGCAUAGACCUUGGGCACUUGGUUAAGAGCCAUUUGACUGUCAUCUGGUAACGGAUGGGGCGCUAUCG
rnacentral:ncRNA from 1 species